rnacentral:rRNA from 1 species
UGGCGACCGGCGCACGGGUGAGUAACACGUAUCCAACCUGCCGAUAACUCGGGGGAUAGCCUUUCGAAAGAAAGAUUAAUAUCCGAUAGCAUAUCAAGAUCGCAUUGAUCUUGAUAUUAAAGAAUUUCGGUUAUCGAUGGGGAUGCGUUCCAUUAGUUAGUUGGCGGGGUAACGGCCCACCAAGACGACGAUGGAUAGGGGUUCUGAGAGGAAGGUCCCCCACAUUGGAACUGAGACACGGUCCAAACUCCUACGGAAGGCAGCAG